GGCCGUGUGGCAAAAUGGUUACUGCGUUGCUUUCCGAAUUUUCGAGGGACUCGAACCCGGGAUCAAAAGGCAGAGACUGUGGGUUCGAGUCCCACCAUGGUCG